CCUACGGGAGGCUGCAGUGGGGAAUAUUGGGCAAUGGGCGCAAGCCUGACCCAGCAACGCCGCGUGAAGGAAGAAGGCUUUCUGGUUGUAAACUUCUUUUCUCAGGGACGAAGAAUGUGACGGUACCUGACUCAUAAGCCACCCCUAACUACGUGCCAGCAGCCGCGCUGAUACGUAGGCGGCAAGCGUUAUCCGGAUUUAUUGGGUGUAAAGGGCGUGUAGGCGGGAGCGCAAGUCAGAUGUGAAAACUCAGGGCUCAACCCUGAGCCUGCAUUUGAAACUGGGUGUCUUGAGUGCGGGAGAGGCAAGCGGAAUUCCGGGUGUAGCGGUGAAAUGCGUAGAUAUACGGAGGAACACCAGUGGCGAAGGCGGAUUGCUGGACAGUAACUGACGCUGAGGCGCGAAAGCGUGGGGAGCAAACAGGAUUAGAUACCCCAGUAGUC
rnacentral:rRNA from 1 species